rnacentral:rRNA from 1 species
GACGAACGCUGGCGGCGUGCUUAACACAUGCAAGUCGAACGGAAAGGCCCUGCUUUUGUGGGGUGCUCGAGUGGCGAACGGGUGAGUAACACGUGAGUAACCUGCCCUUGACUUUGGGAUAACUUCAGGAAACUGGGGCUAAUACCGGAUAGGAUCUCCUGCUGCAUGGUGGGGGUUGGAAAGUUUCGGCGGUUGGGGAUGGACUCGCGGCUUAUCAGCUUGUUGGUGGGGUAGUGGCUUACCAAGGCUUUGACGGGUAGCCGGCCUGAGAGGGUGACCGGCCACAUUGGGACUGCGAUACGGACCAGACUCCUACGGGAGGCAGCGGUGGGGAAUAUUGCACAAUGGGCCGAAGCCUGAUGCAGCAACGCCCCGUGCGGGAUGCCGGCCUUCGGGUUGUAAACCGCUUUCGCCUGUGACGAAGCGUGAGUGACGGUAAUGGGUAAAGAAGCACCGGCUAACUACGUG